UAAACCGUCUUUUGUAGGACAUUUGUUGACAGAUUAGGAAAUUCAAUUUGUAAGAUUUUUGGAGCAUCUUCCAUCUAUGGCAUUGCCUAUCAAAUUAAAGUUUGGAUUUUUGAACUAUUGGCCCCACUUGUAACAAGCAUCAAGACACUUAGACUGAAUGCCUUAGGAACUUAUACUUCAUGUUCUAUCCAUGAAUAGUUUCUAAAGUUAGACAUUUUUCUCACAGUAGAGAGUGCGAUAACCUAAACAUGCAAAGUAACCGGACAAAAUGAAGAAUGGUGGAAUGGUGACCAAAUGGUGAUGAAAUGUUUGGAUGAUAUCUUGUAAUUGUAACAUGAGGGCAUGGAUGUUUUGUUUCAGAUCUUUUGAUAUGUAACCAUGUCCUAAUAUUUGUUAUAUGUUCUAUACUUUAAUUCACACCAACAGUUCAGUUAAGGUCUGAUUUAUUUCAUUGUAGGCAUUGUCUGCCUGUAAUAUGUUUAUUAAAAACUGAAAUAUGAAGCAAUUUCUUUAUAGUA